rnacentral:rRNA from 1 species
GGAUGAACGCUAGCUACAGGCUUAACACAUGCAAGUCGAGGGGCAGCAUGGUCUUAGCUUGCUAAGGCCGAUGGCGACCGGCGCACGGGUGAGUAACACGUAUCCAACCUGCCGUCUACUCUUGGACAGCCUUCUGAAAGGAAGAUUAAUACAAGAUGGCAUCAUGAGUCCGCAUGUUCACAUGAUUAAAGGUAUUCCGGUAGACGAUGGGGAUGCGUUCCAUUAGAUAGUAGGCGGGGUAGCGGCCCACCAAGUCUUCGAUGGAUAGGGGUUCUGAGAGGAAGGUCCCCCACAUUGGAACUGAGACACGGUCCAAACUCCUACGGGAGGCAGCAGUGAGGAAUAUUGGUCAAUGGGCGAGAGCCUGAACCAGCCAAGUAGCGUGAAGGAUGACUGCCCUAUGGGUUGUAAACUUCUUUUAUAAAGGAAUAAAGUCGGGUAUGGAUACCCGUUUGCAUGUACUUUAUGAAUAAGGAUCGGCUAACUCCGUGCCAGCAGCCGCGGUAAUACGGAGGAUCCGAGCGUUAUCCGGAUUUAUUGGGUUUAAAGGGAGCGUAGAUGGAUGUUUAAGUCAGUUGUGAAAGUUUGCGGCUCAACCGUAAAAUUGCAGUUGAUACUGGAUAUCUUGAGUGCAGUUGAGGCAGGCGGAAUUCGUGGUGUAGCGGUGAAAUGCUUAGAUAUCACGAAGAACUCCGAUUGCGAAGGCAGCCUGCUAAGCUGCAACUGACAUUGAGGCUCGAAAGUGUGGGUAUCAAACAGGAUUAGAUACCCUGGUAGUCCACACGGUAAACGAUGAAUACUCGCUGUUUGCGAUAUACUGCAAGCGGCCAAGCGAAAGCGUUAAGUAUUCCACCUGGGGAGUACGCCGGCAACGGUGAAACUCAAAGGAAUUGACGGGGGCCCGCACAAGCGGAGGAACAUGUGGUUUAAUUCGAUGAUACGCGAGGAACCUUACCCGGGCUUAAAUUGCAGAUGAAUUACGGUGAAAGCCGUAAGCCGCAAGGCAUCUGUGAAGGUGCUGCAUGGUUGUCGUCAGCUCGUGCCGUGAGGUGUCGGCUUAAGUGCCAUAACGAGCGCAACCCUUGUUGUCAGUUACUAACAGGUUCCGCUGAGGACUCUGACAAGACUGCCAUCGUAAGAUGUGAGGAAGGUGGGGAUGACGUCAAAUCAGCACGGCCCUUACGUCCGGGGCUACACGCGUGUUACAAUGGGGGGUACAGAGGGUCGCUACCACGCGAGUGGAUGCCAAUCCCCAAAACCUCUCUCAGUUCGGACUGGAGUCUGCAACCCGACUCCACGAAGCUGGAUUCGCUAGUAAUCGCGCAUCAGCCACGGCGCGGUGAAUACGUCCCCGGGCCUUGUACACACCGCCCGUCAAGCCAUGGGAGCCGGGGGUACCUGAAGUGCGUAACCGCGAGGAGCGCCCUAGGGUA